AGUUAUCUUUUCAGCGUUCCUUUUUUUCCUUCCGAGAUGCAUAGUGAUGCUACUAUUGCGUAACAAUGUCUGUUUAGGUAUAUUCACGUUGUAUCUUCUGAACCGAGUGUGAGACAUUUCAGAAUGACUACCAAUCAGCUGUCCACGAUCAUCCUCAUCUGUAUUGUGAUCGGUGGGGGUGUUAGUACGCCGUUAUUGAGCAGCAGAAGCAGCCGGGAGGAGACCGAUGAGAUGGUACAACUGUUUGAUCCCGCCCUGAUCAAAGAGCCUGUUGGUCUAUUCGAUGAUUAUGGCGUGAGGCCCGGUGCUGAUUGGCUACAACAUGACUUCGUCCAUCUCGAUGAACCACAGCGCCAUCUAGAGGAGGAUUACUUUUAAGGAUCUGAGAAGAUACGCUGGCUUGCAGUCAAUUUCAGUAAAUAUAAAAAAGAAAUAAGAUGAAAGUCUGAACAAAGAAAUUGGUGUAUGAAACUUUCUCUUCAUGUGUGUUCAACUGUUUGUCGCCUUUGACUGUGUG